rnacentral:rRNA from 1 species
UUCAUAGAGUGUAAAGGCAUAAGGGAGCUUGACUGCGAGACCUACAAGUCGAGCAGGGUCGAAAGACGGACUUAGUGAUCCGGUGGUUCCGCAUGGAAGGGCCAUCGCUCAACGGAUAAAAGCUACCCCGGGGAUAACAGGCUUAUCUCCCCCAAGAGUUCACAUCGACGGGGAGGUUUGGCACCUCGAUGUCGGCUCAUCGCAUCCUGGGGCUGUAGUCGGUCCCAAGGGUUGGGCUGUUCGCCCAUUAAAGCGGUACGCGAGCUGGGUUCAGAACGUCGUGAGACAGUUCGGUCCCUAUCCGUCGUGGGCGUAGGAAAUUUGAGAGGAGCUGUCCUUAGUACGAGAGGACCGGGAUGGACAUACCUCUGGUGUACCAGUUGUCGUGCCAACGGCAUAGCUGGGUAGCUAUGUGUGGACGGGAUAAGUGCUGAAAGCAUCUAAGCAUGAAGCCCCCCU